GAGGAUGUUUACCUUGGUCACAGGGGAUGGGCCAUUACCAUUGUGACGUCGGCGCCCAUGGGUACUCUCCCUUUUCGAAACGUUUUGAAAGACAAUGCAACCGUCCCAAUGGAAUAUUAUUGAAGCCCUGGUUGAAAAAGCCCCUAAAGAUUUAUGUUAUACAACGUUUGACAUGUUUGAACGAACUUAAAUAUAUUUCUUUUGCUCAUUCCUGACGACAAGUCAGACGCACACGGUACAUUUUUACUAGCCUUCGGAGCGCGCUAACACUAUUGGGACAUAAAUUAUUAACUUUUUUGAACAAAACUACAUUUGUUAUGGACCUGGGAAUUCCUAGAAGUGCCUUCUGAUAAAGAUAAUCUAAGGUGUGCUCUGAGGAUGGAACAUGUGCUGUGGGGUUCAGUGUGGGUGGACAUGGUGGCUCAGUUGAUGACCAGAGGACCUGAACCCUAGGACCAUGCCUCAGGACUACCUGGCCUUAUGACUUCUGGCUGUCCCCAGUCCACCUGACCUGUUCACCAGACGUGCUACCUUGUCCCGACCUGCUGUUUUUGACUCUCUCUCUC
rnacentral:lncRNA from 1 species